rnacentral:rRNA from 1 species
CAAAAACAUAGCUAUAUGGAUUAAUAUAUAGUGUUUUCUGCCCUCUGAAUUUUAAAUGGCCGCAGUACCCUGACUGUGCUAAGGUAGCAUAAUCACUUGGCUUAUAAUUGAAGUCUGGAAUGAAUGGGAUAAUGGGGGAUAGCUGUAUCACAAAUAGAAGUAAAAAUUACUUAAAAAGUGCAAAUGCUUUUGUUUAAAUAAUAGACGAGAAGACCCUAGAAAUUUUCAUAAACAUGAAGGUAUCAUUUUUGUUGGGGCAACAUUGGAACAGUGUAACUUCCACUAUGUACAUGACGAUUGUCUUUCGGUAGAUAAAUUACUCUAGGGAUAACAGCGUAAUCUUCUAAUGUUUGCGACCUCGAUGUUGGAUUAGGGAUAUAUAUUUUAGAAGACUAAUAUUAAAGCUCUGUUCGAGCU